CACAUUACUGCUCAAAAAGUUUUGGAUUUCAGAUUUUUGGAUUAGAGAUACUCAGCCUGUGUUAUUUAUCAAAUGAACUGAGUUCUUUCUAAGCCAUAUGCAACAGGAUGGGUUUCAGAUUGCAACACAUUGUUCUUUAGAGGACUUCAGAAUGCUAUGCAAAAAACAUUUUAAACAGAACUAAUGUGAAUAGUUUUUGAAACAGUAAUAUACAUCAGCAGAGAAGCAGAGGGGAACUAGCAGGGGAAAGAAGGCAAGAUUCAACAUAAAAGAAAUGAUUCAGAUAAAAUGAGCAAUUUAACUCAGGUAAUAGUAAGAGAAUCUUUUUAAAAACAAUUUAUCCUUUUAUUUUAUUUUAUUUUAUUUUGUUUUAUUUUUUGAGACGGAGUUUCACUCUUGUUGCCCAGGCUGGAGUGCAAUGGUGCGAUCUCGGCUCACUGCAACCUCCACCUCCCAGGUUCAAGCGAUUCUCCUGCCUCAGCCUCCUGAGUAGCUGGGAUUACAGGCAUGCUUCACCGCAUCCGGCUAAUUUUGUAUUUUUAAUAGAGACGGGGUUUCUCCAUGUUGGUCAGGCUGCUCUUGAACUUCCAGCCUCAGGUGAUCUGCCCACCUCAGCCUCCCAAAGUGCUGGGAUUACAGGCGUGAGCCACCGCACCCGGCCAAUUUUUCCUUUUUUUAAAAAAAAAUUAUCGUAGUAAAAAACAUGUAAUUCUGGACUGCUCCCCAUAGGGUUACCACCUCUUAGAAAUUGUCCUCUAAUGAAGGUGACUGGAAUGUUUUCUCUGCUCAUACUGUAGUAUUAUAAAUACAUGUAGUCAUUUGUACAAAAAUUCUUCUAAGCCCUAGCUGCUGACUAAAAGCACUAUAUGAAGUUAGGAAAUUUUAGAAUGAAAGAAUCUGGCUAGUCCCUUGAAUUUGUAAUGAGAUUGACUGCUCUGUGUUACAUGCCUGCCUUGUAGUUGUUUCCCCCAUUGUCUGUCAAAGUGGAGAGUAAUCCCAGAUGGUUUGCAUGGGAGGGCUACAAAGGGAGAUGAUCCUCAGGGACUCAGAGGAAGUAUCUAAACACUGGUCAUGCGUUAUCUGAAGCCCACGUAACAGUUUCUUCAAUAGUAUUAUCUUCAACUACUCUCUAUAAUGCUAUCUGAUAAUAUAUCUAAAUCUCUUCACGCACAUUUUUUAAGAAUGGCUUUUUUUACUGUGUGUUUCUGACUACUAAACUGAGUAGUCUUCAUUUCUGUUAUAGGAACUCCAUGCUCCACUGACUGUUGUUGCAGAUGGGCUUUUCUCCAAGUUCAGGAAAAGCCUGGUCUCCAAUAAAGUUUCUGUAUCAUCUCAUUUUGUUGGCUUUCUUAUGAAGAAUGCACCACAGUUUAAAGCAAAUCAUGCUGAACUUAUUUUAGCUAACCCGAGUCCAGUUCUCAUCUACCAGAUUUCAUCCAGUGAAACUCGAGUACUUGUUGACAUUAGAGGAGAAAUGCCAAGGAAUUUAAGAGAAUACAUGGUUGAAAAAAUUUACCCACAAAUACCUGGUAAGAAAUAGCAUCUUCAGUUCUUACAAAGGCUGUGUCUAAAAUAGGCCAGAGAUAAGGAUGGCAGGUGAAACAUUCAUCCAGUCAACCAGAUAUUCUGGAACUGAACUAUUUAAACUAGCACUUAAAAACAGCAAAACAAACUCCC
rnacentral:lncRNA from 1 species